UACGGGAGGCAGCAGUAGGGAAUCUUUCACAAUGGGCGAAAGCCUGACCCAGCAACGCCGCGUGAAGGAAGAAGGUCUUCGGAUUGUAAACUUCUUUUAUGAGGGACGAAGGACGUGACGGUACCUCAUGAAUAAGCCACGGCUAACUACGUGCCAGCAGCCGCGGUAAU
rnacentral:rRNA from 1 species